GGAGGGUUCUUGUGGCUGCAAAUGUGGGGGUCAUGGGAGCCAUGGACCUAUGGGACUAGGAGGAGGCCUGGAGACUCUGACUUCUGCAGCGGGAUACUCCUGAGCCAGAAGCUCUGAUCCGAGUUUGGGAAGGGCUGACCACCUUGUCCUCUACCUGGCUCACAAUCUGGUAUCCCAGUCCCCCCUGCUACUGUGAUUGGUUCCAGGAGGAGCACGUGACCUCAGUCAAUCCAAUGGGAGUCGGUUUUGGAACGUAAGCCAUAAAGACUGGGAAAGUGGCUCUCCCUUGGUUGCCAUCCUUGCUGCAGCAUGGACAUGGUCAUGGUCAGCUAAGAAGGAAGCCCACACAGAAGGAAACAGUCAAGGGAAGGAGAGAAAAUCCGAUGCCAUCAUCAAGUCCCUCAUCUGGCUAUACCAAAGCCAAAUAAACAUCCCAAACCUCCCAAUUAUCUCCUCACUUCACCAGAACAGAAUGGUCUCCCCAAGCCAGA
ensembl:lncRNA